UACGUAGGGUGCAAGCGUUGUCCGGAAUUAUUGGGCGUAAAGAGCUCGUAGGCGGUCUGUCGCGUCUGCUGUGAAAACUCAGGGCUUAACCCUGAGCUUGCAGUGGGUACGGGCAGACUAGAGUGCGGUAGGGGAGACUGGAAUUCCUGGUGUAGCGGUGAAAUGCGUAGAUAUCUGGAGGAACACCGGUGGCGAAGGCGGCAUCCUGGACCGAGAUUGACGCUGAGGCGCGAAAGCUAGGGUAGCAAACGGG
rnacentral:rRNA from 1 species